rnacentral:tRNA from 1 species
CACUGAGAAGCUAAACAGGACAUAGCGUUAGCCUUUUAAGCUAGAAAUUGGUGACCCACCGACCACCCCCAGUGA